rnacentral:rRNA from 1 species
UACGUAGGUCCCGAGCGUUGUCCGGAUUUGUUGGGCGUAAAGCGAGCACAGGUGGUUUAUUAAGUCUGGUGUAAAAGGCAGUGGCUCAACCAUUGUAUGCAUUGGAAACUGGUAGACUUGAGUGCAGGAGAGGAGAGUGGAAUUCCAUGUGUAGCGGUGAAAUGCGUAGAUAUAUGGAGGAACACCGGUGGCGAAAGCGGCUCUCUGGCCUGUAACUGACACUGAGGCUCGAAAGCGUGGGGAGCAAACAGG